GAAAGGAUUUUGGCCAAUCCUCUCCUCGCGCGCGGCGUGCUUCGAGUGGGUUGUGGAACCCUAGACCCCUUUCCCCAAUACCACGGCCGCCUCCAUCCUCCCGUGCUCCACCCCGAGCGUGCCCGGGCUCCGCCUCCUCCUCCUCCUCCACCAUACCUUCUCUUCUCACUCUUCCUCCUGUCGCAGCCGCCUCCUCUUCUCCCUAUCUUCCUCCUCCUCGCCCCACGCGACCCCUCUUGUGCCGCUCGUUCCACUUCGUUGCCGCCAUAGAUCGAGGAGGACGGCGCGAUGACGACCAUGAUGCAUCGGACAUCCCAGAUCGACGACGCCAUGGAAGCCAUGAGAGCUGGCCGAGGAAGAGGGGGCAGGGCCGCAGGCCAUGAAGGGCAUGGCGGCUGCGGGCGGAAGCAGCAUGGGUUGAAGGAGCGGCGGAUGUGGGCGGGGUCAGAGGUGGGGAAGACUCGUCGGCUGGGCAACAGCAAGCGCCGGUGAGUGCAAGCAUGCGUUUCCAGAAGCGUCCUCUCCCGCAAGGACGACGUCGUCGCCCUUGUUCUACGAUCUGUUGCAUCUCUUUUCUUCUCGUUAAGGAGAGGGGAGGCGGCCAAUGAAGGGGCAUAUUGUUUUGGUUAUCGGUGGUUGGAGAUAUUGUGGCUUGAUGUCCCUGGAGCAGUCAGACCCUUCCAAGAUAGGUCGAGCGACGGCGAGCACAUCCGACGGCAACACACCCGUUCUUUCUCUCCCCAUGCCGCCUCCUCCCUUCGGCCCUGAUUCAUCGGCGCGUGCAGACACCUUUCCUUCUUUGACUUCUCCCCUCUUUUUCGUAAAAGCAAAAAAGAAGCAGGAGCAAAAGGAAAGUGAGCACCAUAGAAAGGAUGAUUAUAAGCAAGCGACAAGAACAAGCCAAUAGGCAUGGCAUUUUAUGAAAAAUGAGCAGAGAGACCAGGCGUGGGACUAGUGCUUGGUAGCAGCAGCGAUUCCUUCAGGCAUUUCGAUUCCAGUAACCACAAGUUCUAGGGAAGAUGUAUGUUUCCUACUAAAGGGUUUGAGUUUGAGAGGCACAGAAGAAGUUACAAGUGUUGCAGCUUAUUUGGCUUUAUAGUGACAUGUAUCGGCAAACGAUUGUUAUAUUCAGUAUGCUAGGGUGUGUCCUAUUUAUCAUGCAGAUUCUGUAUUAGGUGCUCGAUAGAGGUAACAAAAGCUAACAGAGAUCAGAAUAUAUUUUUACUUAUAUUUUUGUCUUUCUUUUAGUUCUGUGUAGUCUUUAUUUACCAUGUAAUGAUUAGUUUGAAUGCUUAUAGUGGUGAUACUUUCCCUAUAAAUUUGUUGGGUAGAUUAUAAUUCCGUUACUUGAUUUAGGAUAGUAUAUGGUUCUAUGAUACAGGAUUUAGAGGAACAUAUAUGGGAUUUAGUUUUUCAGGUCACACCUGUCCCAUAUUCUUUUACUUUCCCUAUUGAUUUUAGCUUGCAAUUGAGUAAGAUGCAGGUUGGGAAUUCUCCCUUGUGUGUCAGAAUCUGAAGUAUUUGACCAUUUGGGUUCACUUCUAUCAUGUUUUGUAUCCUUCCUCUAUUUUAAGAUUUACUAGGCACAUGCAGGUUAGUUGUUGUUUCAAACAUGUCAAUGAAAGGUAAUAAUGUUAAAAUUGGUUCCCCAAGGGCCAAGGUGGUGAUGAUUACUUUGUGCUUCUUUUCCUACUUGUUCUAAAAAUGAUCCUUCUGGGUGAUGUUGAUUUAGGUUUUUGUGGUCGUGUCAUACACCAAUUACCGUUGAGAUGGGUAAUGGUAUGGGAAUGGGCUCCAAGGAUGUGAAAAUGGUCUGGAAGACAGAGUUAGCAGCGACAUGUGUCCUCAAGUAAUUUCUUGCCAAAGGUGAUGUGAAGGUUAGCUACUGUGAUCAAGGAAAUAACAUGUAUCUGUGUGGUUUGUUCCUGCUGUUGAUCGGUCGUUGCUGCAUUUGAGGUAUGUUGUGCCCGGUGCUACUUAAUGCUAUAUAAAACCUAUAGCUGUACAUAAAACGCCUUGAUAUGCAAAUAACCCAGUUAAAAUAAAUGGGUUGCGCCAUCUAGCAUUACAUGACGACAUGCCAAACACUUUGCCACCUAGGAUAGUCUAUAUUUGUAUUUCAUUCAGUUAUCUCAUAUUUCCAGUAAAAAAAACUCUUCGCUUUGGGGUUUUGGAAUAAUCUUCAGGAAGUUGGUGACAAGUUAGUAGAACUUAUAGAAAUGCCGCUUUCAUUAGACAAUGACAUGCCAAAGACGCCACUGCCUAAGGUAGUCUUUGGACUUAAGCUAUGUACAAUAACAAGAUUUGUCGCUUCAGUUUUUAGAAUAAUCAUUGAUAAGUUGGUUAAGAAUUAGAGCUAAAGUUACGCUCAUGAGUAGUAUUUGUUGUACAAACAUCCAGUUAAUUCUUGAGAUACAAUAGAAACACUAUAUUAGUACUACUUUAGUCAAAUACAUUGUCCACUGGUUGUUGUAGUGAAAUGUCGCUCUAGCUAUUAAUUUACAGAAUUGUAGAAAAUAGCCCCUACGGAAUUACAAAGAGCGAGAAUAAGGAAGCUGGCAAACUUAGUGCUCCAUGGUAUUUCAGUAGAAAGGAAAUAGAAGAGAAUUCUCCGUCUAAGAGGGAUGACAUUGAUUUAAAGAAAGAGACUUACCUUCGGAAAUCGUAUUUGCACUUAUCUACAAGAUUUGGGGAUGCGGCUCAAAGUGUAAGAUAUUUUAUGUCCUUCUAUGCAUUUAUCGAUACUGUAGCCUGUUGGCUGACUGUCCCUUACUUAUCCAAAAACAUUGAGUUCUGCUACUUACCCAACCAGAUGUUAAAUAUUUCAAAAUGCGUCUUUAUAUUGACAUUGUAUCGUAAUUGCUUCUCCUGAUGUGUUUUUGUUUUACACCAGCAUAUAUUUGGUCCAGAGAUAUUCAAUUGUUUGUCUGAUAAGAUAAUAUUUUACUUCUUUAUGCAGCACUCUUAUGGCAAGCACAUUUUUUCUGGAUGAACUGCUGGUUGGUUUUUUUCUCCAUAAAUACGAUAAAUUAUCAUAUCAUAUGAAAUGUUAAGAUAUACUGAAAAUAUGCCCUGUAUGAUGGUGGUCUGGCAUUUUAGAAUUGUUUUGGGCAAUUCAUGUUUGUAUGCAUUUUUUCUUUUGGCCCUUGAAGGCAUCUUUAAUAGUUUGCAAUUGCGAUAGAAAUUGCUGUGCUCGUAUCUUUAGUUUUUAUUACAAUUGGUCGAGCUACAACGAGUGCGUCUGAUUCCAACUCAUCAAGGUGAGCUCCCUCUUUUAUUCUUCUCAGGUAAUGAGGCGUCAGUGUAGGCCCAAUCUUUUUGUUUGUUGCUUUGAAGAGUGUUGUCAUGUUGUGGAAAGGCAACAUGUGCUUGAUAUGUGGAGUUGGUGUUGAGCCUGGCGGUAGUAGACAGGGAAGGCACCCAUCUCACUUGAUCUUGAGAGUUGAUUCAUAUCUUUUUUCUUGACCUGAUUGAGUUCCUGUAUAUGCAAGGAUAAAGAAGAAUGGGCAUUGUCGUGGUUGUUGCUUAAGGUGUUGGUCAGGAGCUGAUUGCCGGGACUGAUGACAAGAACGGAGAGCAGGAUGAGUAUGUCAACAUGAUGUUCCUUGAUGUUGGCCUUCUUUUAUAAAGUUCACAUGCAACUCUCCUCCAUGGUUAGAAAUAACUAAUUUAAACGUUUUGUUUCUUUGGUGGUUACUCAUUUCUCUUACCGUUGUUGUAUCAAAACAAUUGUAUUUUCGUUGAUGGCCACUUGGGCUCAUUUUCGAGGAGAAUGAGAUGUGGAAUAAACUACUCUAAAACGGUUGGUUCCCUUAAGACAAUUUAUUAGCUAACUAAUUUUGGCUGCUGGUGCACAUGAUACAAUUGUGCUCUGUUGUUGCCAUCUUGCAUUUUAUGUGAGCUUAAACAGACAAUCAAUUAAACUUUUACUAAGUUCUUACCGUAUGUAUUUGCUCAAACACAGUUACUAAAAAAAUUCAAAUAUUUUUAGCAAGUACAUGGUUUUAAAUGGGACUCGGUGCCAUUUAGCGCGAUGGGCAGUGUUAUAGAAAUAUAAUUUUUUGGUGCAACAGUUAUACACUCUUUUUUCAAGCUUGGAUUUCACAAUGUGAUAGACAUUUUCAAAAGAGUAUGGUUUAAUAUAUGGGUUUUCUACAACGAGUAUUGAAUAUGUCCUUGCAAAAGAAACUAUUUUCAUCCACAACAUGUUUUUAGCGGCGCAACGGAUAAGAAAUCGCACUGGUCUGUGGCUGAGGAAAUGCCUCUGUCACCCAACUGAGGAACCGAGAAAGAAAUGAAGGGGAUAGACAUUCUCUGCUGGAUCCGUCCACUGCUGCUUCAUAUUCAACUCGGUCCACAGGCAUCGCUCUAUGUGGGUUGGGCUAAAUAACAUAUGAUCUAUCCUAAUACCUCCUCAUCCCUAUAUCUAUGUAUGUUCACAACAAAGACAUGCUUUUUCCUUAGGUUUCUUAUCUUUUUCCUUUUUUUUUCAGGUAUGGACUAUCAUAAUACCUUUCGAUUCCUAUAUCUCCGUAUAUACACAACAGACAUGUUUUUUUCUUAGGUUUUUUUUAUCUUUUUCCUUUUUUUUUGCAGGAAAAAGAUGCACGGUCAGGUUUCUCAUCAUGAUAACCAUGUUUUCAAACUUGCUAAAAAAAUACAACCAUGCCAACUUUACUCUCUCAUCAUAGUGGUCAUAUUUUCAAACUGAACAUAUUCAUAUUAUGCAAAGUUUCCCUUUUCCUAGACUACUAUUUAACAACGUAAUAAACAUGUUUAAAAAAUAGCAUGAUUUAGUUGAAGGUUUUUGCAGCAUGAAACUAUUUUCAUCGACAACAUGUCUUCAGCAGGUCUCUGCGCCAUUUGGCGGAACGGGUCAACUAGUUUUUAUAUAGAGGCAGCAACACAUGGAGAAAAUCAUAACCAAUUGGUGGUGUAAUAAGCACCGGGAUUUUCUCAGUUCUCAUGACAUUCAUUUGAGGACAAUAACGAUGGAAGGUUAUGCAUCCAAUCAGGCAAACAGAGACUUCGUCACAUUCUUCCUAUUGAAUGCGAGGUUACUAUUGUCCAUGGGGCUUAAGUUUUUCAACAAGAAAUUUCUCACAGAUGGAUAUGUUGGACAGCAAAAAAAGAAGAUUCGGGUCGACAAAUGGGCUUAUGAACGUGCUCGGCUUCUAUUUACAACAACUUGUCGUCAUAUGCGAGUAAACUUUUUGGCAUAGGAUGUUGAUUUUAUGGAUCACACCGACCCAUUUAUUUGUGACUGCCAAAAAUAGUGGUUGGGUUAGAUGUUAUUGCCAUGUGUGUUCAGUCUGGAUUUUGUCUAAACCUGAUGAACAAUUAAUCCUUGGGCUUUUGUACUGUUUAUAAGCUUGAGUUAGAUAUUGUUGCCCUUUUCAA